rnacentral:rRNA from 1 species
AGUGAACGCUGGCGGUAGGCCUAACACAUGCAAGUCGAACGGCAGCACAGUAAGAGCUUGCUCUUACGGGUGGCGAGUGGCGGACGGGUGAGGAAUACAUCGGAAUCUACUUUUUCGUGGGGGAUAACGUAGGGAAACUUACGCUAAUACCGCAUACGACCUACGGGUGAAAGCAGAGGAUCUUCGGACCUUUCGCGAUUGUAUGAGCCGAUGUCGGAUUAGCUAGUUGGCUGGGUAAAGGCCCACCAAGGCGACGAUCCGUAGCUGGUCUGAGAGGAUGAUCAGCCACACUGGAACUGAGACACGGUCCAGACUCCUACGGGAGGCAGCAGUGGGGAAUAUUGGACAAUGGGCGCAAGCCUGAUCCAGCCAUGCCGCGUGGGUGAAGAAGGCCUUCGGGUUGUAAAGCCCUUUUGUUGGGAAAGAAAAGCAGCAGGUUAAUACGCCGCUGUUCUGACGGUACCCAAAGAAUAAGCACCGGCUAACUUCGUG